UUGUUUCACAGCUUACUUUUUGAAGAACGGGCCAACGAGUUACGUUAAGUAGCAAGGUUAAGCACGUAAGGUGCGGAGCCGUAGCGAAAGCGAGUUUUAACUGAGCGUUCAGUUACUUGACGUAGACCCGAAACCGGGCGACCUACCCAGGAGCAGGAUGAAGCGAAAGUAAAAUUUCGUGGCGGUCCGAACCCACGAGCGUUGAAAAGCUCGGGGAUGACUUGUGGGUAGCGGUGAAAUUCCAAGCGAGCCCGGAGAUAGCUGGUUCUCCCCGAAAUAGCUUUAGGGCUAGCCUCAAGGUGAGAGAUACGGAGGUAGAGCACUGAAUGUCCUAGGGGGUAUUGCACCUACCGAAGACUAUCAAACUCCGAAU
rnacentral:rRNA from 1 species